rnacentral:rRNA from 1 species
GUACACUCCUGCGGGAGGCAGCAGUGGGGAAUAUUGCACAAUGGGCGCAAGCCUGAUGCAGCCAUGCCGCGUGUAUGAAGAAGGCCUUCGGGUUGUAAAGUACUUUCAGCGGGGAGGAAGGCAAUACGGUUAAUAACCGUGUUGAUUGACGUUACCCGCAGAAGAAGCACCGGCUAACUCCGUGCCAGCAGCCGCGGUAAUACGGAGGGUGCAAGCGUUAAUCGGAAUUACUGGGCGUAAAGCGCACGCAGGCGGUCUGUCAAGUCGGAUGGGGAAUCCCCGGGCUCAACCUGGGAACUGCAUUCGAAACUGGCAGGCUUGAGUCUUGUAGAGGGGGGUAGAAUUCCAGGUGUAGCGGUGAAAUGCGUAGAGAUCUGGAGGAAUACCGGUGGCGAAGGCGGCCCCCUGGACAAAGACUGACGCUCAGGUGCGAAAGCGUGGGGAGCAAACAGGAUUAGAUACCCCUGUAGUCCCAUGAU